AUGGGAUUGACAUGCAGGGAAAGCCCCACUGUCCGCCAUGGUGACGGCAGUGGAGAAUAUGACCGCCGGCCAUGCCAGGGCGGGGAGGAGUACAGGGCCAGAGAGGGUGAGGAGAGGAAGGCGUCAGUGAAGGGGGAGGGGAGGAGCAGAAAGGAGGGUUACAGAGGGGAACAGGUUGAGCUGUCAUUCAGUGCCAGGAAUAGAAAAGGGCCUGCCAGCUCCAGCUCCAGCGCAGCUCCCACAAGCAGAGAUCCCAAGCUGGGGAUUCCUGCUCGCUCUUAUUCAGAGUGGCUCCUCGCAACUCGACAGCAACAGCAACAGAGUCAGAUAAGAACUCAGACCUUACAGCAAGAGAACAAGGGUGGUGCCAGGAGGCUAAAAGCAGUCCCCGGGAGCAAUAACACCGGGGUUGGCCGCCUUUCUAGCGCUCACACAAGGGAGACCUCCAGCAUGGGGAGCGAGUUUGAUGAGGCUGACAGUGAGGUGAAGUGGCUGACAGACGUGGCGUUCAGAAGCCUCUCGAGCCCUCAGGUGGAUUACCUGGACGUGUACAACUCUAGCCACAGGUCGUCUACAAAUGCCUCACAGCCAUCCACUCAGGAGAGCCCAGGUGGUACAGCAUGGUUAUCCUAUGCAGACCUUCGUGGCUCAUCUCAAGGUGAAGGUGACGAUGUUCCACGUCAGCCUUCCUAUGUGCCACCCCUGGGCGGCUUGGAUCCCUCUAGACGUUUUGAAAUGGGCAGUUUUGAGUGUGUAGAUGUAGCUCUGGAGAGCAGAGAGGAGGCCAGGAAGGGGAAAAGGACCGUUCCCAAAAGGCAGAUUCAGCUCAAGAGACGUGACAACAAUGAACCAAAGACCCAGGAAAACACAGAGUGUGCUUUGGGUUCUCCCUCUACAGAGAGACGGUUCAAUGAUACCUUAGCGCGGCAGCACAGUACACCAGUGACAAUGGAGGAGGAAAUGACAACAGAUAGCCCUGAGGCUGAUCAAACUGACAGAAAACCGAGGAUGCAGAAGUCCUCGUCCCUGGACGAGACAUCAAGCAAAUCAAAAGUUGCCUCAUGUCUUAUUAAGAAUGUACUGUCAAAGAAAAUGCGAAAAGGUGAGAGCAGCCAAACUGCACACCGUAAAGCGGAUUUAAGUCCAUCUGAAGACACAAACGACCCCUUUGAGAGUAUAACCCCACCUCCUGAGAGAGAGCACUCAAAAUCCGACAACGUUAAGUCCAGCCAACUUUCAGACAACAGUCUGCCACCUAUGAACCCACCUGUCAAGGAGGAGCGAAGUCCACCCCAAGGGGCUAAACACCAAAGAGGUCUUGCGCCCAAAGUGCCUCCAAAGCCACUGCAUUACAUUCUUCCUCCUCUUCCUCAAGAUAUUUCCAUGAGGCCCGAACCGCAACACAAAAAUAAAGUCAGGAAAGAAAGUCCUUUCCCUUUGGAGGGCAAGAAAACGGAGAAACAGGACUCGUGGAAUGGUGGAAAGCAGGCGGCUAACCGUAACCCCGGUGACAAGCACAGCCGUGACUCAGCGAAUGUCAGUGUCGGGAACACAGGCACAACUGCCACCCGAGCCUUGGGCAUGCCAAGUGGAAUGAUAAACAGGGACCAGGAAUGCCACGCGAGACCGGAAAAUCAUAAACAACACAGUGGCAGGAGCGUGUUCAUGUCCAAAACACCAGAAAUCAUGCUGAAGCCCUGCGUGCCCAAGGAGAGAAAACAGUCCUCAGUGAAAGUGUCUCUGUCACCUGGUCUGGAGAGAAAGGCUGGUGACCGCCAGGAAAGAGCUCUGGAGGAGAAACAGGAGGAGCCCGAAUUAGAGGUUGAGACAGAGCAGACAGAGGAUGAAUGUGAUACAAACAAAAUAAGGAAACCCAUACAUAAAGUAAGGGACGUCAGAAGACUUGUUAAAAAUACAUAUAACCUUUCUUUUAAAGCAGCCACCCCUGCUGUGCCACCACAUGCCAUUGAGUCACUGAAGCAGGAGGAGACAGUACCAAUGAAACCUGUCCCGAUGCAGAUUGAGUCACUGAAGCAGGAGGACACAGUACCAAUGAAACCUGUCCCGAUGCAGAUUGAAUCACUGAGGCAGGAGGAGACAGUACCAAUGAAACCUGUCCCAAUGCAGAUUGAAUCACUGAGGCAGGAGGAGACAGGACCAAUGAAACCUGUCCCGAUGCAGAUUGAAUCACUGAGGCAGGAGGAGACAGUACCAAUGAAACCUGUCCCGAUGCAGAUUGAAUCACUGAAGCAGGAGGACACAGUACCAAUGAAACCUGUCCCGAUGCAGAUUGAAUCACUGAGGCAGGAGGAGACAGGACCAAUGAAACCUGUCCCAAUGCAGAUAGAAUGCAGAGCUAUCAACAGGAAGGAUAACAAACAACCCUCUCAACACAAUGACAUGCCUGUGGACACGUCAAAUACAGAUCUACAACAAGAGUCCACAGAAAUGAACCAACAGACAGGAUCCCUCCAAAUCCCUGCUAAGACAACUCAAGCCAACACGUUGACUUCAGACUUGCCACACAAAGAACCAGAUACCCCAGGAAUGGGCACCAACACUGUUUUAGAUGCAUCCGGUCAAAUGGAGAAGGUCUCUAAUGAGGCUGGUCGACACCCAAAGUUGGGCAGUUUACCCAAAAUCCCCAGUAAGGAUAGGGAAGUGUCAAAACUUGUAUUUCAGCCAGAUGGCUCAUCCAAAGGCAUUCCAAAUCCAGACGCCCCACCUUCCCCUCGGUUAGCAGUCCCAAGCAGCAGCCACUCUGUGUCUAUGAUACGAAAGGAAAAGGGAAUGCAAGCUGACAUUGGGGUAUGUGACAGCGUCAGCGAAGGUGCUAGCAACCCUCGUAAACAUGUUAAUAGAAUUGAGGUGCCACUACAGACCUCCUGCAUGGAUGGCACCGCAGGAGAGACGCACAGAAAGGGGGGAGAUACAGCCCAACACUCGACUGCUUCGUCUCCGAGGCUGCCCAGUCCUGAGGAGAUUGGGCCCAAACACAGGAGCUCCCCAAAGCCACAAGGGCAGGAGAAGACAGUUCCCAAGGUUACAUUUGAGGAAAAUCAUAAACAGUCAUCACCGACAAGAGAAGCGCAGGAACUGCCUGACUUGGGAGUUCCUCAGGUUAUCAACAUCAGAAAAGAAACAGCGUCGCCAGUGGUAACAGGCAAAAGCCAGCCUGUUACAGAGGUGAAGCCUGUCCGUGUAGAAGGGAAUGCACCUGCAUCGCAAAAGACAUCAAAAGAGAUAGAGCUUCCUAUACAGGUUAGAUCCAUAUCAUAUGACAGGCCUAAACCAAAACCAAGCUGCAAGCAACCCUUGAUAGAGAUGAAGUCAGUAUCAAAUGACAAAACAAAAGCAGACAAACCCCAACCUGCAAUGGACAAAAAUCAGAGUACAGAAGAAAGAAAGUUUGAAGCAGUUGCUCCUGGUGAGCCAGGGACAAAACCAGCACCACCAGUCCACACAAAUAAAUUAGCAGUAUCAGCCCGAUCAAGCUACAGGCCUCCCCCAAACAAAAUGGCAGCAGUAUCCAGCUUGACUCAGCAAACAGCUGUGGUUGAAUCUUUGAAAGACAAGCAGCUACAUGCAGUACCUACGUCACAAGCCAAUACAACUCAGAUGCCAACAGUUUUCACAUCAAAGGUCCCAGGACAACCCAUCAUUUUGGAUAAAUCAAGCAACCCUGGGGCAUCCAAUAUGCCAUGCCAGGGGCUGCCAGCCAGCUCCAGUGGUUCUAUCCAAACAGUGGGGCCAAUCAUACCACAAGCCCCCAGCUAUACACAGCACCCAGCUGUGAAAUCAGCUGAUAAUCAGUUUCAAACAGAGGAUCUCCAUUUCUAUGCUUCGGAUGACCCACCCAGCUAUGAUGACCGCGAGAGUUUCAGCCCUUACCUCCUGUCAGACUUACCUCCCAAAAGAUCAAAUCGGUACCAUCCAAAUUCCAGGCCUCCGCCAUGCUCUUGCGGCACCAGUUGUUCCUCCCAUCCUGGCCAUCCCCGCCUCAGCCCGCACACUCGCACUCCUCCCAUCGCCCCCCCGCACUCCCCGGGACAGUCUCUACCUUACCCCGGGGCCCCACCUCAAGCCCAGGUCCGUCCUCAUCAGUGCAGACCAGAUGGUCAACCUCUGAGCUAUAAACCAGGCUCACCUAAAGCCCCCAUGCUGAGCCCCACCGCACCACCUCCAGCCAUGUUUCAGCCAGUCCAUCACCCACCUGCCUGUCCUGGGCCACUUCUGCAGCCGUGUGGAGACGAGCGACAGCAGCAUGUGGACCGGCGCCCUGCCCAUCAUCAUCCUCCACAGCAGCAGCAGCACGCAUCAGGUGCUAGUGGUGGGCCAUACAGUGACCAUGUCCAUCCAUCCAACAUGCCCCCCAUGGAGUCUCGACCCCAGUACCUCUGCAGUCCACAAGACCUGGCCUCCUCCUAUGGCUCAGAGUAUGGGCCUGAUGGGCCGGGGGGUGGUAACGUGAUGUACCCGGACAGUACAGGGGGACUUGGAUAUGGGCAAGGUCCUCGACGUGUUCUCCUAGAUCCUGACACAGGGAAGUAUUUCUACAUUGAGGUACCGAUGCAACCCCUCAGAAAGAUGCUGUUUGACCCAGAGACUGGCCAGUAUGUGGAGGUGCUUAUCCCCCAGCAGGCUCUAUCCCACUCCAGCCUGUACUCCCCACCUGCUGCCCCAUACUCCUCCAUGCAUGGGCCAAGUAUGUACUCCCCUCAGUACCUCCCUUACUCUGUCCCAACCCAUCCCCAAGCUACUCACCCUCCUCGAAAUGCUGAGCCCCCCGUCCCUACGACGCUUCAUCAGAACAGCAUAGGUUAUGGGACUCCUCCAGGAGGCCAGGUACCAAAGUCUGAGCUGCAGAACCAGAACCAGCCACCUCUGGAUCAGGGCUACCUGGAGAGCAUGUAUUAUAUCCCAACGGGAAUGAAUGCGAGCCCCAACCCCACACCAUCGGACUGUUACCAUAAGCCCUCGAACCUGCCUACUUCAGGGAGUAGAAGAUCUUGA
ensembl:lncRNA